UAGGGAAUCUUCCGCAAUGGACGCAAGUCUGACGGAGCAACGCCGCGUGAGUGAAGAAGGAUUUCGGUUCGUAAAACUCUGUUGUUAGAGAAGAACAGCGCAUAGAGUAACUGUUAUGCGUGUGACGGUAUCUAACCAGAAAGCCACGGCUAACUACGUGCCAGCAGCCGCGGUAAUACGUAGGUGGCAAGCGUUGUCCGGAUUUAUUGGGCGUAAAGCGAGCGCAGGCGGUCAAUUAAGUCUGAUGUGAAAGCCCCCGGCUCAACCGGGGAGGGUCAUUGGAAUCUGGUUGACUUGAGUGCAGAAGAGGAGAGUGGAAUUCCAUGUGUAGCGGUGAAAUGCGUAGAUAUAUGGAGGAACACCAGUGGCGAAGGCGACUCUCUGGUCUGUAACUGACGCUGAGGCUCGAAAGCGUGGGUAGCAAACAGG
rnacentral:rRNA from 1 species